rfam:Drosophila erecta strain TSC#14021-0224.01 Ctg01_6548, whole genome shotgun sequence.
GUUGACAUUUCACAUCAUUCGCCGGGAUUGCGCAAAUGUUGCCUUGAAGUGUUGCAAACAUGCGAGUCCUAACUCGGUCCACGGCUUCGUCGGCUUAGUUUCCUGGCUUACAUCCGGGAAACCCGCCGGC